rfam:Ophiostoma piceae TAMH 11346 chromosome Tnknown scf02, whole genome shotgun sequence.
UUUUAUGAUGAUAAAGGGCCUUUGCGCCUGAAUUUUUAAACCCAGCUCUUCGAAUGCCUUUGGCUUUAAUGAGAUUAAAAAUAACUCUGAUCC